AAAAUAAAAAAACACUAGAUAUACUCCACUGUGACUUCUUGGACUGAGCAGCUGUGGUCCUGGGGUACCCAAUGAUCAACCCCUUUGUGUAAAAUCCCAGUGUGUACAUUUGCCUUCAGACCUUGGUUCUAGUGAGACCCACCAGAAUUCCCUAAGUGGAAACCACAAAUGCUUCUCAAUUUUGCCUCACACAUCACUAACAAACUAGCAAGAAACUGUCCCGGAGAGAAUGAUAAUCGGCUGUGUGGGCACUUCUACACCACAAGAGGGCAGCAAACUACACCAUGUGGACAGCUUUCAAGGGCCCAAGCAGAGUCUGGCUCAGAGUAGCCUACCCUACCGAGAACAUUUGGAACUGACAGGGCUCCUGAUCCCAACCUUCCUUCCCAUCCAAACACCACGUUUAUUUUAGAGCAGAGCUGUCCACCACCCAGGCCUGCGAGGUCAUCAGGGUCCAAUGGUCAGGCUGGCCAGCCCCCUGCCUUUCAGUUGCGCCUUUCAGCCAGAAAGACAAGGAAGUUGCCAUGUGAUCACUACCAGGCAAAAUGGUGGGAUAAUGAGGACCAGGAGAAGACCAGAGCCUAGGCAACUGUACAACGAGACGUGGAGCCAGCCCUCUGCUGAGUGGCAGAGAAAAGUCUCAGGUCCUGUGGUUCCUACUCUGAUGCCAUCCAGAUCUAGGGGCAUCCCGGAAGCACACAGGGUCAGAGGUUGGGAAAACCAAUGCAACUUUAUGCUUCAAAUUCUAUUUUUCCUCAACCCAACAUUAAAAUGAAAUUGGGUUUUCAGAACCCAAGCUCCUAAGUUCUAUACAGAAUCUAGAAAGUCCUGAUAAUUGCAGAGUAGCAGGGGUCAGACAUGAUUGGAUUAAUAAACAAAACCAGUAUGAGAGAGAAUUUAAUAUCACCUCAGAGUUAACAUCUACUGUGCAACUACCAGAGCUUCGUAGAUUCUGUACAGAACUCGGGAGCUUGGGUUCUAAGUUAUAACAAGAAGCAAAGAGGUUGGAGGCAGGUACAGUGGCACACACCUGUAUUCCCAGCACUUGGAAGCAAAAGGCUCAGUACAGGGCCAGCCUCAGCUACAUAAUGAGUUUGAGGCCAGCCUGGGCUACAGUCUGAUAAAAUCAUGGAAGACGAAGGCUCAAUGGUCACCACUUAGUACCUGGGUGAGCCUCAGAUUCUUAAUCUUAAGGGUCAACAGUCUUUCACUAAAUGUGUUUAAGAGAAAUUUUCUUUGAAUCUGAGCACAGUGGUAACACGUGUAGUCUCCGCUUCUUGGAGGGCUGAGACAAGAGAAUUAUUUGAACCCAGGAGUUCAGACUAUCCUGGAUAACACAGCAAAUCCUAUCUUGACAAAAAAUAACCUUUAAUGCAACUAAGGCAGUGCCUGUGAACUGUAGAAAUGUUAAAGAGUAAAGCAGAAACAACUGUUACAGCUUAAAAGAUAGCUCAGUGGCAACAGGCAACAGGCAAGAGGUCCUGAGUUCAUAGCUCCCCAACACCCACGUAAAAAGCCAAGCAUGAGGUUGCAGGCAUGUAACCCCAAAUCUGGGAGGCAGAGACAGGAAGAUCCCAAGGGUCUGUGGCAACCAGUCUAGCCAAAAUAGCAAACUCCACUGUCAAUGAGAGACCCUGCCUGAAAAAUCAGGGUGGAGAGUGAUGGAAGAAGACACUCCACAUCCACCUCCACACUUACAGAAGGUACAUUUUUCCUGCUUAGAAUACAUAACUUUCCUAAAAUGAGACCAUACAUACAUGCUACAAGUAACUUUUUAAAAAUUAUAUGUUUGAAUGUUUUGCAUGUGUGUAUAUAUUCACAUCCUGUGUGCCUGCCACCCACAGAAGCCAGAAAAAAAGAGUCAGAUCCCCUGGAAUUAUAGUUACACUUAUAAGCUGACACUUGCAUGCUGGGAACUGAACCAGAUCUUCUGCAAGAGCAGCCAGUGCUCUUAACCACUGGGCCAUCUCUCCAGCCCCAUGAAACUCAGUCAAUAUUCCCUGUCUUUUCAUGUCAAUAAACUGUCAUAUAAUA